AGCAGCACUAACUGGUAUAUACUAAAACUGGAAUGAUAGAGAGAAAAUUAGCAUGGCCCUGCACAUGAAAGCAUGAAAAUUCAUGAAGUGUUCCAUAUUUUG